CACAGCAGUUUCGAGGAGUUUGCCUACUUUGGAUGUCGAUUCUCAGCGGCACUCUUGGAAUGGAUCAGCUGAAGUUCUGGGCUACCGGACCGGAUACUGAAGGUUCGGCGGGGAGUUCUUCCGCCGUGUCUGGAUCUCAGCUUCAGGACCGUGUCAGCGCCGUUAGAUACUUCAGAUCUCUGGGCCUCUCGGAACCAGGUGGCAAAGCAGCUCGGCAGAGGAUGCUGGUCGGCGUUCAGG